rnacentral:rRNA from 1 species
UACGUAGGGUGCGAGCGUUAAUCGGAAUUACUGGGCGUAAAGCGCACGUAGGUGGCUUGAUAAGUUGGGUGUGAAAUCCCCGGGCUUAACCUGGGAAUUGCAUUCAAGACUGUCUUGCUAGAGUGUGGAAGAGGGAAGCGGAAUUCCAGGUGUAGCGGUGAAAUGCGUAGAUAUCUGGAGGAACAUCAGUGGCGAAGGCGGCUUCCUGGUCCAACACUGACACUGAGGUGCGAAAGCGUGGGGAGCAAACAGG